rnacentral:lncRNA from 1 species
AGGCAAGCACAGCCUCCUGGAGGCUAGAAGCUAUGAAGCCUGCUGAGGAGUGGACUAGGAAGCUGUGAGUGGCCUUCCAGAGGCAAGCACAGCCUCCUGGAGGCUAGAAGAUGAAUGAGUCCAGGGAGGCCACCGGCUCAUGCGGGUGAAGAGAGAGAGUAACCAAGGCCAUUCAAGAUGGAACUCUGCAAUGCUUAAUCUUGGUUGUCAGCUCGACUGCCAGCUAGUUUGUGCCAUGAGCCCCUGAACUCUGCGGCUGCUUCCACUGACAUCAAAACCCAGUGUGGACUGAAGACCAGCGCUUCCCCAGGAAUCCUCUAGACCUUCAGUGCCAGAUGGGGACCACUGAGGCACCCUGUCUCACAGAUUGAGCAGCUUCUGGGCUGUCAUUCUCUCCAGUGUGAAGACAGCUAUUGUUGGACUACCCAGACAGUAUCCUGAGAGCUAAUUUAAUAAAUCCUUUCAAUACACACUCAUUGUGUUCCUCUAGAGCAGCAUCCUCAACCUUCCAAAUCUGCAAACCUUUAAUAUAGUUCCUCAUGUGUGGUGACCCCCGACAAUAAAAUUACUUUGUUACUACCUCA